UCACUAUCAAAAAUAUACUUGUCGGAUCGCGCUAAACUCUUGUAUAAAACUUUUCUUGGUGUACGUGUUAAGAAACAGGAAGAAAAUUAAUAUUCAAGACUCGUGUCUGGACUUCCAUGGACUUUUUGAAGUUUCUGCCAGUCCGUUAG